GGACUGAUUUAUUCUCUCUGUGUUGGUGAGCUGAGCUGAAGGGAGAUUUGUCCUAGAUUCUUCCUUGACUGGAGCUUUCUAUGCAGGAGAGGCUUGCUGGCUGAAAUAUAUGAGACUGAGAUGCUGAAUUUCAUUAUUAAAUAGAAAAGAAAACGUCCCUUCUACAUGAGGAGGAACCUUUUGAACAGGCUUCCAAACAAGUAAACCUUCACAAGAUUUUUCUAAACAUUUAGGUAAGUCAGACAUAUACACAAACAUAUUACUCAGCAAAAU
rnacentral:lncRNA from 1 species